CAAAAGCAACGUUCCCAAACUCAAAACAAUAAAGCCCAACUCGUUCCAAAACAAACGCCAGCUCAGCUCUCAUAUAUAGCAGGUGCUCACGCGAAACCCCGCCCCUUAGAACGUCGCAGCCUAGCAACAAGCCCUGCCUCCCAAACACGAUCGUCGGAUUGGUCAGUAAUCUUCCAUGUGUGGGGUUUUUCCUAUCUGCCCUCAAAAAAGAUGGCGUCGGGAGCGUUUCCAGUCUCUCUUCUUUCAGUCAACCAAUCACUGUCGGAGAAAGGCAAAAUACCCCUCCCCUCCACAGCAAGGGAAGUGACGCAAUCUCCAUCCGAACUUCCUUUUCCAGCCUUUCUUGUUUUGCAUAGGUUUGGAAAGGCUCCUAAACUUUCAUGGCAAGCGUUCUUGAACAAUCUUAAUUCCCUGCAUGCAGCAAAGCGAGGGGGAUAAGAGCACAGAUGGCUUGCUUAUGACUAAAACGUCUUUGAAAAGUCUUCCAGACAGAGUGCAAGUGCACAGCAAUUGGCACCAUGAUGGGAGGCCUGAGUAAGCUUCUUAGCCAUCGGCCAAAGCGCCUGGAAGUUGUUUGGAAAGAGAUGUCAUUCCUCUCCUGCAUUGAUGGACCAACUGGAGGAUAAGAUAGAGAAACUGAAUUUGCACCAUACCUAGACAGAAGAUGGCACUGUAUUGUGAUGGCCCAUAGAAAUGUGUCAGGCUCUCCACUUGCUUUAAAUAUCUCCGUAUUCUGCUUUUGUGGCUCUGUGCAGGUUAAAAAGACUUCCAUGUCAUAGAGGUUAAAUAGUUUUAUUUUGUUGGAAUGCUGGACAACCAUUUAGAAAGGAAAUUUGGAAGAUUGUUACAUGAUAUGGGAACUGCCUCAAGAACUGUUUAUAGAGAUGAAAAGAGCAAGUUAUUCCAGUGCCCAAAAUGUCCUAUGAAGAUCUAUCAAUUUGCUGAGAUGGACAAAUGGACUUAUGCUGAUUAAGGAGAAAUCUUGAAGUAACUAAGAAAUAUUGGGUCUUGUUCAUUACCUUUUUACAACAAUGAUGGGGGCAUUUGUCAACUGUGGAAUUCAUGAAUUAUUAGAAUAUAGUCAAAAGUAGAAGUGUGAUGAUGCAAUAGUCUUGUAGUAGUAAAUAAUAGGAUGAUUCGGCAUUUUCGUCAGUCGGAUACCUUUUUCUUUUGUUUUUUAAAGGUUUUAUAUCUAGAAACUUUUAAAGAAUUUCCUAAAAAUCAGUGGAUUACCCAAAUGUUCUGAAACUUUGGAGGCUUGUAGUGGCAAAUGUGUCCUUCAAGCGUGGCUAUUUUUGUACUGAUAGGCCUAAAAAUGAUGGAAAUGAUAGACUAACAAGGUCCACCUGAAGCUUAAGCCUAAGCAAUCCAGCCAAGAUGCAUUGCUCAUUGGACAUCCCAGGCAAGAAGAAGAGCAGUAGGUGAAUGUAAGUCAAAGAUGAGGCUUGAGGUUGACAUGAAUGGUGGGACCGAAGGCACAUUUUUGAACUCAAAGCUGCAAGUUCUCUUUUCAGUUUCAGGAGGAAGUGGGUUUUUGAAACAUCUUCCAGUAUUUCUUAAUUGGAAAUCUGCAUCUCGUAAUAUUUUCUUCAGUGGGAACUCCCACAGUUGGUGAGAUAAAGUUUGGACAACCUUACAGCUUUUAAAAUGUUUGUAUGUUUGUAUAUAUAUAUAUAGUAUUAUUAUUAUUAUCAUCAUCAAUAACCAGCACCAAAAACCCAACAGCUUGUGCUACUGUUGUAAUCAUAGUGACUAUUGCCAAAUCCCUAACCCCUCCUAGGAGACUCUUAAAGUUUUUAAAUGCUGCUAAAACUCAAACUAUAAGCAAUAAGCUUAUUUCUGGAAAUGCGGGGAAGGGAUGAUAUGAAAGGGGAACUUCUGACCAGCCUGGACCGUCUCUUUCUCAAAUGUCAAGAGUAUUUAUGGGAAAGGAUUGUUGCUUGUUGCAAGAAGGGUUGCAGGUUAGGAAACAACUGAUUGCAUUGCACAGACAGAGCAAGUCUGGGUUUUAGUCUGAACUUGAAAUUUAGUAUCACUGGAAACAUCUUUAAAGUUUACACUAAAACUAGGAAUGGAUUCAUUACCCCACUACCCUGUUUCCCCUAAAAUAAGACAUCCCCAGAAAAUAAGACCUAGUAGAGGAUUUGCUGAAUUGCUAAAUAUAAGGCCUCCCCCGAAAGUAAGACCUAGCAAAGGUUUUGUUUGGAAGCAUGCAGGAUCGGUAAAUGUACAUACCAUGGAUUGUUGGAAAUAAAGGUAGUAUCAAGAAAUAAUAAUAAUAAUGAUAAUAACUUUAUUCUUGUAUUCCACCUCCAUCUCCCAGAAGGGACUCAGGGCAGCUUACACAGGGACAAGCCCAACAACAAUAUAAAUUUACAUGCGAACAGAAAUUAAAAACAGUAUAGCAAUAAAAUAUAAUAUAGAAAUGCUUUUUUGUAAUAGUUUUUAUUUAUUUCAUGUGAAUAUAGUACAUUGAAAGUGGGAGAACAAAUAAUAACUUAAGAGAUAGUAGAAAGUAGCUUGGAGAGAGAGAAAGAAUAAAAUAUAAUAUAGAAAUUCUUGAAAGGAUUCACAGUUUGGUUAUGCUGGUUUGUGAUGACAACUACUGUACAGUAGAUAAUACAUUUUCUUUUUCUUUUUUUUAAAUUCAACCAUAAAUGUGAAUUCUUCUUUGUGGAAAAAUAAGACAUCCCCUGAAAAUAAGACCUAAAGCAUCUUUGGGAGCAAAAAUUAAUAUAAGACAUUGUCUUAUUUUCGGGGAAACAGGGUAAUAUGGGAGCCAUCAGCUCCUAGUCAUAGAAUUGUAGAGUUGGAAGAGACUUCACGGGCCAUCCAGUCUAACCCCCUGCAAGAAGCAGGAAAAUCACAUUCAAAGCACCCCCGACAGAUGGCCAUCCAGCCUCUGCUUAAAAGCCUCCAAAGAAGGAGCCUCCACCACACACCGAGGCAGAGAGUUCCACUGCUGUACAGCUCUUGGAGUGAGGAAGUUCUCCCUAAUGUUCAGGUGGAAUCUCCUGUAGUUUUGAAGGCAUUGUUCAAUGUCCUAGUUUCCAAGGCACCAGAAAACAAGCUUGCUCCCUCCUCCCUAUGACUUCCCCUCACAUAUUUACACAUUGCUAUCAUGUCUCCUCUCAGCCUUCUUUUCUGCAGGCAAAAUAUACCCAGCUCUUUAAGCCAUUCCUCAUAGUGCUUGUUCUCCAGAUCCUUGAUCAUUUUAGUCGCCAAACUCUGAACACAUUCCAGCCUUUAGACAACUCCCUUCAAUUGCAGUGCCCAGAAUUGGACACAGUGUGAUUCCAGGUGUGGUCUGACCAAGACAAUAGAGGGCAGCAUGAUUUCCCUUUCUGCCAACCUAGCAGUUCAAAAACAUGCAAAUGUGAGUAGAUCAAUAGGUACUGCUCCAGUGGGAAGGUAACGGCCCUCCAUACAUGACUUUGGAUGUGUCAAUGGACAACAUCGGCUCUUUAGCUUAGAAAUGGAGAUGAGCACCAACCCCCAGAGUUGGACUUAAUGUCAGGGGAAAACCUUUAUAUGACUUCCCUGGAUCUAGACACUACUCCUAUUUAUGCAGACCAAAAUCCCAUUGGCUUUUUUGCUGCCGCAUCACAUCGUUGGCUCAUGUUCACCUUCCUCCUCACGAGGCCUCCAAGGUCUUUUUCACACAUCCUGCUGUCGAGCCAGGUGUCCCCCAUUCUGUAUCUUUGCAUUUCAUUUUUUCUGCCUAAGUAGAGUAUCUUGCAUUUGUCCCUGUUGAACUUCAUUGUGUUCGUUUUGGCCAAUCAUCUCUCUAAUCCGUUAAGAUUGUUUUGAAUUCUGCUCCUGUCUUCUGGAGUAUUGGCUGUCCCUCCCAAUUUGGUGUCGUCUGCAAACUUGAUUAUCUAAGUCAUUAAUCAAGAUGUUGAACAGAACUGGGCCCAGGACGGAACCCUGCUUCUGGCUCUCCACUCAUGACUUCUUUCCAGGAUGAAGACGAAACAUUGGUGAGCACCCUUUGGGUUCGUUCGCUUAGCCAAUUACAAAUCCACCUAACCGUAGUUUUGCCAAGACCACAUUUGUCUAGUUUGUUUGCCAGAAGGUCAUGGGGGAGCUUGUCAAAAAAAGGCCUUCCUGAAAUCCAAACACACUACAUCCACAGCGUUCCCUGCAUCUACCCAGCUUGUACCCAAAAGAAGAGAUCAGAUUAGUCUGGCAUGACUUGUUUUUCAUAAAACCGUGUUGAUUGUUAGCAAUGACCGAAUUCAUUUCUAAGUGUUUGCAGACCACUUCUUUAACCAUCUUUUCCAGAAUCUUGCCUAGUGUUGAAAAGCAAAUCUUCUGAAGUGACAUCUUCAGCCAUUUUUGCUCCUGGUUGUUGAAAACUCUCUUUUGAGAUGUCCUUGGCAUCAAUUCUGCCUUCAUUUCAGCACCAAGAUAAAAUGUUGACCACAAUUCUAUGUCACAGUCCACAUCAUUGGAAAAGUCUGUGAAAUAGCCAAAGGUCUUUACCAUGGAAUAAAACAUGAACAAUAUUAAAAUUACAUUAUUAAAAAUACUAGGCAUAACUUUAAAACCAUACCCUGAGAUCCCUGUAAAACUAACAAAGAAUGUAAAAUUUAAGUGCAAUAUUAAACGAGGACGAAGCUGCCAAUGCAAACUGGGAUACCGAGAAUAUUACAAAUAGCUAUAUAUCAGCUAACAAAUUUGUUAUGGAUUGAAUAUCCCUAAUCUGGAAAUCCACAAUUGUCCACAUGGGUAGCCGAGACAGUGAUGCCUUUGAUUCUUGGUGGUUCCAUGUACACAAACUUUGUUUCACGCACAAAAUUCUCUAAAAUAUUGCAUAAAAAAUGACCUUCAGACUAUGUGUGUAAGUUAUAUUUGAAAUAUACAUGGAUUUUCUGUUUAAAUUUGAGUCUCAUCUCUAAUAUAACUCAUUCUGUAGCUGCAAGGAUUCCAAAAUUGGGGUGGAGGGGAUACCAAACACUUCUGGCUCCUAACAUUUUGGAUAAGGGAUGCUCAAUCUUGUACUACUUUUUGGGAUGUGUAGUCUAUAUAUUUAUUUAUUUACAGCAUUUAUAUUCUGCCCUUCUCACCCCGAAGGGGACUCAGGGUGGGUCACAUUACACAUAUAGGCAAACAUUCAAUGCCUUUUAACAUAGAACAAAGACAAGACAAACAUAGGCUCCGAGCAGGCCUCGAACUUAUGACCUCCUGGUCAGAGUGAUUCAUUGCAGCUGCUCUCCAGCCUGCGCCACAGCCCGAGCCCAACUGAAUAUAUAACUGAAUCCCAUGGAAAAAUUUUUUUUUCUUGGCGCAGAAUGCAGGGAACUAGGAUUGCAGACUUAAAGUUGUCACGUUUUCCAUGGCAGGUCUUCAUCACAUCUCUCAUGAUGGAAAGCAGGCAAGAGAUGGAGGCUGAAAUAAAUCCUAAGCAGAGGGUUUGAAUGCCCCACUUUCCUGGCCACUCUCAUCUUGACAGUUGUCUCAUCUUGGAGUUGUCUUGCUCCGCUCUUUUCUCAGAAAAAGGAAAAGAAGGAAGAAACCAGUGAUAAUCUUGCUCAGGAAAAGUCCAACCCAGAGGCCAAAAGCGGAGGAGACAGAGUACACCAGUUGAUCUGUUGGGGAAACACAGUGUAUCAGCUAAUGAACUUCAUACAUUCGAAUUAUUUAUCAGGUUAACUUGCACUGCCCACAAUAUUCAUAAGCAAUGGCAAUGUGUUUAAAUUCCAAGUGUUACUGUAGACAAGUGUCCCUAUUCCUCCUCCUUCUCAUUCUUAUGAUUUUUGACUUUUGAGGGUUUGAUUUUUCAUGGAUUUGAUUGAAACUAUUCUCUCUAAGAAUCUCCCAGUUUUCCAGUGUGGUCCUAUGGUCAACUUCAUCAUGCCGAAAGACUUAGGCAGGAUGUACACUGCCAUAUAAUGCAGUUUAACUGCAUUGAACUGAAUUAUAUGGGUCUACAUUUCCAUAUACAGUGUUCCCUCACUACUUCGCGGUUCGCUUUUAGUGGACUCACUGUUUUGUGGUUUUUCAAUAAACUCUAAAAGAAUAUUAUAAAUCAUUAAAAAAAUUACGAUUUACAGCUGAAGGGAGGAAGGAGAAGCCGAAGGUAGAGAAAAUUAUUAUUAUAUUGUAUGACACAGCAAACAAGAUAGACAUGCUGGAUUUCAUAUCACAAAAUCACAAGUCGAACACUUCCCAAACAUUUAGGACUGUGUGAUGUAUUUUCGAAUGAUGCGUGCAGAUCCCAGUAGGGUGGCCUUUUGCAGUUGGCAGAUCGUAAUUUUGUCAAUGUCUAUUGUUUCCAAAUGCCGGCUGAGAUCUUUUGGCACGGCACCCAGUGUGCCCAUCACCACCGGGACCACCUGCACUGGUUUCUGCCAGAGUCUUUAUUAUUAUUGUUAUUAUUAUUAUUAUUAUCUGCAUUUCUAUACCGCUUUUCUCAAAGCGGUUUACAACAUAAUAAAUGGCAAAAUUCAAUGCCUCACAUCUAUAUAAAAAUAUAUCACAUAUCUAAAUCAAAAACAUACAGCUGUAGAUUAAAACUAUUAAAACUAUAAAAACAUCAAACAUGGACUAAUGCAUGAAACAUGUCAUUACAGAAAAGGAGCCCAAGUGGCAACAGGAGGAGAAGGAGGUGAUUUAUCAACACAUGAUUGGUUGAUAAAGACUUAAAAUAAUGUAUAACUACUAAAAUAAUGUAUAAAUAUUAAAAUGAAUAUAGUAUCCCUACUUCGCGGAUUUUCACUUAUUGCAGGUGAUCCUGGAACCUAACCCCCGCAAUAAGUGAGGGAAGACUGUAAUCCAGUUCAAUGCAGUAUAGUUAUAUUCACUAUAUGCAUAACCAAGGCAAAGAUAAAACAGUUGACUUGGCUAGAGGAGAGAAAGUAUGAACCCCAAUGAAAUCAAAACCAUAUGUGUCAAUCCACUUAUUCACCUUCAAGACCAUUGGCUUUGUCAUUUCUUCCAGAGUAUGGCUGUAUGAUCAAUGUUCCUGUUUGGUUGAUUGGAGGCUGAGAAUUAUGUCUGACCUGGCAAGUAAAUAUAGACAUAUUCUUCUCUUCAGUGGCCCUCACCACCAGAGAAUUCUUGAUCAUGGGUUCAUCAGUUCCCAUUUUACUCUUAUUAUUCAUAAACCAGACCACUUUGAUGUCAUUUGGAUAAAAAUUAUCCAUGUUGCAGGUGAGGGUCACUGUUUCAUUCAGGUGGGCAGGACAAGGCGGGUCACUUUCCACUUUUGUACAGGUGGGACUGUACAAAAAAAGCCAAAGAAAUCAGUGUCAAUACCUUACAAUGCAUCUAGAGCAGGCAUGGGCAAACAUGGGCCCUCCAGAUGUUUUGGACUUCAACUCCCACAAUUCCUAACAGCCUACCAGCUGCUAGGAAUUGUGGGAGUUGAAGUCCAAAACACCUGGAGAGCCCGAGUUUGCUUCUGCCUGGUCUAGAGAGAUCUCUUUUUUAUUCUAAGCAGAGCUGGACACUACUAUAAUUGGGAAAAGUUCAGGGGCUCCUUUCUCCCUCAGUUUUAUGACUAUUAGGGUGAAAUUCACUACAGUUGUAGAACACGUUUACUCCUGUCAGCCCACCAAGUUUUAGAACGUUUCACAUAUACAUGGAUUUUUUUGGGGGGAAUUUUCAAAGUUUUUAUAAACAAUCUUUUUUAGGGUUGUUGUAUGUUUUCCGAGCUGUAUGGCCAUGUUCUAGAAGUAUUCUCUCCUGACGUUUCACCCACAUCUAUGGCAGGCAUCCUCAGAGGUUGUGAGGUAUGGAGAAACUAAGGAAGGUUUAUUUAUAUCCAGGGUGAGGGAAGAACUCUUGUCAGUUGGAGGCCAGCGCGAAUGUUGUAGUUAAUCACCCUAAUUAGCAUUGAAUGGCUACAUCUACUGGCUACUUUCUGCUUGGGAGCAUUCUUUGUUAACUGCCCUAGUUCCCAUGUCUCAGAGUGUUGCUUCUUAUUUACUGUUCUGAUUUUUGAGUUUUUUUAAUACUGGUAGCCAGAUUUUGUUCAUUUUCAUGGUUUCCUCCUUUCUGUUGAAGUUGUCCACAUGUUUGUGAAUUUCAAUGGCUUCUCUGUGUAGAACAAGAGUACUCUCCCUCCACCCUGGACUUCCCACAGACAUAUAUAAACCUUCCUUGCUUAGUUUCUCCAUACCUCACAACCUCUGAGGAUGCCUGCCAUAGAAGUGGGCGAAACAUCAGGAGAGAAUACUUCUAGAAAAUGACCAUACAGCCUGGAAAAGAUACAACAACCCUGUGAUCCCAGCCAUGAAAGCCUUCGACAACACAUCAAUCUUUUUUAAAUAAAGAAAAUAUGUUCCUAGUUUGAAAGGGCUGAAAAACCCAGCUUAUACUCAAGUAUAUACGGUAUAUGUUUUGUUUUAUCCUACCCUGUUUCCCCUAAAAUAAGACAUCCCCUGAAAAUAAGACCUAGUAGAGGUUUUGCUGAGUUGCUAAAUAUAAGGCCUCCCCUGAAAGUAAGACCUAGCAAAGUUUUUGUUUGGAAGCAUGCCAACAGAACAUCAGAGUAUGCAGGAUUGAUAAAUGUACGUACCAUAGAUAGUUGUACAUGGAAAUAAUGGUAGUAAUGAGAAAUUCUGGAUAGGAUUCACAGUUUGUCUGGUUAUGCUGGUUUGUGAUGACAGCCACUGUACAGUAUAUAAUAAAUGUUCAUUUUUUGUUCAAUAGUUAAUGUGAAUUCUUCUUCAUGGAAAAAUAAGACACCCCCUGAAAAUAAGACCUAGAGCAUCUUUGGGAGCAAAAAUUAAUAUAAGACACUGUCUUAUUUUCGGGGAAACACGUAAUAGGUCCCAGCAUCCUCAGGUCGAACGUUACUGAUGGUGAUGGAGAAGUCUGUGGGGGACUCAGGAACAAGCCUUGUCACUCGAGGAGAGGCAUCUUUUUGGUUGUAAAUGGCCGGUUGGUUUCUGUCGGGACCCCGGUACCAACGGACUCCUUCUAGCCUUCCGCUCCCUCUCAGGAUGCAGUACAGAGUUAACUCUCCUCCUGUGGACACCGACAAGGUCUCUGGCACCUGAAUAAUCUCUGCAACACCUGCAACAAAGUACAUGGCAUGGCAUUGUCUUUCCUAUUCUCUGAAGCAGAACAUCUUAAACAUUUUCCACUUGCGACCUCUUUCCACCCAAUAAAUAUUUUCAUGACCCCC